rnacentral:rRNA from 1 species
AUGAACGCUGGCGGCGUGCCUAAUACAUGCAAGUCGAGCGAACGGACGAGAAGCUUGCUUUUCUGAUGUUAGCGGCGGACGGGUGAGUAACACGUGGAUAACCUACCUAUAAGACUGGGAUAACUUCGGGAAACCGGAGCUAAUACCGGAUAAUAUUUUGAACCGCAUGGUUCAAAAGUGAAAGACGGUCUUGCUGUCACUUAUAGAUGGAUCCGCGCUGCAUUAGCUAGUUGGUAAGGUAACGGCUUACCAAGGCAACGAUGCAUAGCCGACCUGAGAGGGUGAUCGGCCACACUGGAACUGAGACACGGUCCAGACUCCUCCGGGAGGCAGCAGUAGGGAAUCUUCCGCAAUGGGCGAAAGCCUGACGGAGCAACGCCGCGUGAGUGAUGAAGGUCUUCGGAUCGUAAAACUCUGUUAUUAGGGAAGAACAUAUGUGUAAGUAACUGUGCACAUCUUGACGGUACCUAAUCAGAAAGCCACGGCUAACUACGUG